rnacentral:rRNA from 1 species
CCGACGGUGAGGGACGAAGCCCUGGGGCGCAAACGGGAUUAGAUACCCCGGUAGUCCAGGGUGUAAACGCUGCGGGCUUGGUGUUGGGGGUCCUUAGUGGGCGCCCAGUGCCGGAGAGAAGUUGUUAAGCCUGCUGCUUGGGGGAGUACGUCCGCAAGGAUGAAACUUAAAGGAAUUGGCGGGGGAGCACCGCAACGGGAGGAGCGUGCGGUUCAAUUGGAUUCAACGCCGGACAACUCACCAGGAGCGACGAUUACAUGAAGGCCAGGCUGAUGACCUUGCCUGAUUUUUCGAGAGGUGGUGCAUGGCCGUCGUCAGUUCGUACUGUAAAGCGUUCUCUUAAGU